rnacentral:rRNA from 1 species
UAAUACGUAGGGGGCGAGCGUUGUCCGGAUUUACUGGGCGUAAAGCGCGUGUAGGCGGUCCCUUAAGUCCGAGGUGAAAGGCGGAGGCUCAACCUCCGAGCUGCGUCGGAAACUGGGGGUCUUGAAUGUCGGAGAGGGGAGUGGAAUUCCUGGUGUAGCGGUGAAAUGCGUAGAGAUCAGGAGGAACACCGGUGGCGAAGGCGGCUCUCUGGCCGAACAUUGACGCUGAGACGCGAAAGCGCGGGGAGCGAACGGGAUUAGAUACCCCGGUAGUCCGCGCCGUAAACGAUGGUCACUAGGUGUACGCGGUAUCGACCCCGCGUGUGCCGCAGCUAACGCAUUAAGUGACCCGCCUGGGGAGUACGGCCGCAAGGUUG